AGCAGUAGCCACGGGAACACGAAGGGGGCUAGCGUUGUUCGGAAUUACUGGGCGUAAAGCGCACGUAGGCGGAUAUUUAAGUCAGGGGUGAAAUCCCAGAGCUCAACUCUGGAACUGCCUUUGAUACUGGGUAUCUUGAGUAUGGAAGAGGUGAGUGGAAUUCCGAGUGUAGAGGUGAAAUUCGUAGAUAUUCGGAGGAACACCAGUGGCGAAGGCGGCUCACUGGUCCAUUACUGACGCUGAGGUGCGAAAGCGUGGGGAGCAAACAGGAUUAGAUACCCCUGUAGUCCCUGUCUCUUAUAC
rnacentral:rRNA from 1 species